ACGAACGCUGGCGGCGUGCUUAACACAUGCAAGUCGAACGGGCCCGCCCCUGUUUUUGGGGGUGGGUUGAGUGGCGAACGGGUGAGUAUCACGUGAGUAACCUGCCCCCUGCUCCUGGAUAACUGCUUGAAAGGGCGGCUAAUACGGGGUGUGCCGGCUGGUCCGCAUGGGCCUGGUCGGGAUAGUUUCAUCUUCGGGUGUUUCGGUGGGGGAUGGGCUCGCGGCCUAUCAGCUUGUUGGUGGGGUGAUGGCCCACCAAGGCGGUGACGGGUAGCCGGCCUGAGAGGGUGGGCGGCCACACUGGGACUGAGACACGGCCCAGACUCCUGCGGGAGGCAGCAGUGGGGAGUAUUGCACAAUGGGCGGAAGCCUGAUGCAGCGACGUCGCGUGAGGGAUGGAGGCCUUCGGGUUGUGAACCUCUUUCUCCGGUGGUGAAGGCCCUGUCCGUUGCGGCGGGGUUGACGGUAGCCGGGUAUGAAGCGCCGGCUAACUACGUG
rnacentral:rRNA from 1 species